CAAACUAUAGUUAAUUUAUAAUAUAGAUUUUGGGUAUCUAAGAUCAGGCACAGCCUGUAGUUUGA
rnacentral:tRNA from 1 species